AAAUCCGGUUCACUUUAACACUGAGGCGUGACGACGAGGCACUACGGUGCUGAAGCAACAAAUGCCCUGCUUCCAGGAAAAGCCUCUAAGCAUCAGGUAACAUCAAAUCGUACCCCAAACCGACACAGGUGGUCAGGUAGAGAAUACCAAGGCGCUUGAGAGAACUCGGGUGAAGGAACUAGGCAAAAUGGUGCCGUAACUUCGGGAGAAGGCACGCUGACACGUAGGUGAAGUGAUUUACUCAUGGAGCUGAAGUCAGUCGAAGAUACCAGCUGGCUGCAACUGUUUAUUAAAAACACAGCACUGUGCAAACACGAAAGUGGACGUAUACGGUGUGACGCCUGCCCGGUGCCGGAAGGUUAAUUGAUGGGGUCAGCGCAAGCGAAGCUCCUGAUCGAAGCCCCGGUAAACGGCGGCCGUAACUAUAACGGUCCUAAGGUAGCGAAAUUCCUUGUCGGGUAAGUUCCGACCUGCACGAAUGGCGUAAUGAUGGCCAGGCUGUCUCCACCCGAGACUCAGUGAAAUUGAACUCGCUGUGAAGAUGCAGUGUACCCGCGGCAAGACGGAAAGACCCCGUGAACCUUUACUAUAGCUUGACACUGAACAUUGAGCCUUGAUGUGUAGGAUAGGUGGGAGGCUUUGAAGUGUGGACGCCAGUCUGCAUGGAGCCGACCUUGAAAUACCACCCUUUAAUGUUUGAUGUUCUAACGUGGACCCGUUACCCGGGUUGCGGACAGUGUCUGGUGGGUAGUUUGACUGGGGCGGUCUCCUCCUAAAGAGUAACGGAGGAGCACGAAGGUUGGCUAAUCCUGGUCGGACAUCAGGAGGUUAGUGCAAUGGCAUAAGCCAGCUUGACUGCGAGCGUGACGGCGCGAGCAGGUGCGAAAGCAGGUCAUAGUGAUCCGGUGGUUCUGAAUGGAAGGGCCAUCGCUCAACGGAUAAAAGGUACUCCGGGGAUAACAGGCUGAUACCGCCCAAGAGUUCAUAUCGACGGCGGUGUUUGGCACCUCGAUGUCGGCUCAUCACAUCCUGGGGCUGAAGUAGGUCCCAAGGGUAUGGCUGUUCGCCAUUUAAAGUGGUACGCGAGCUGGGUUUAGAACGUCGUGAGACAGUUCGGUCCCUAUCUGCCGUGGGCGCUGGAGAACUGAGGGGGGCUGCUCCUAGUACGAGAGGACCGGAGUGGACGCAUCACUGGUGUUCGGGUUGUCAUGCCAAUGGCACUGCCCGGUAGCUAAAUGCGGAAGAGAUAAGUGCUGAAAGCAUCUAAGCACGAAACUUGCCCCGAGAUGAGUUCUCCCUGAGACUUAGAGUCUCCUGAAGGAACGUUGAAGACGACGAC
rnacentral:rRNA from 1 species